rnacentral:rRNA from 1 species
GUCUAGUGGCGCACGGGUGCGUAACGCGUGGGAAUCUGCCCUUGGGUUCGGAAUAACAGUUAGAAAUGACUGCUAAUACCGGAUGAUGACUUCGGUCCAAAGAUUUAUCGCCCAAGGAUGAGCCCGCGUAGGAUUAGGUAGUUGGUGGGGUAAAGGCUCACCAAGCCGACGAUCCUUAGCUGGUCUGAGAGGAUGAUCAGCCACACUGGGACUGAGACACGGCCCAGACUCCUACGGGAGGCAGCAGUGGGGAAUAUUGGACAAUGGGCGAAAGCCUGAUCCAGCCAUGCCGCGUGUGUGAAGAAGGUCUUCGGAUUGUAAAGCACUUUAAGUUGGGAGGAAGGGCAGUUGCCUAAUACGUAACUGUUUUGACGUUACCGACAGAAUAAGCACCGGCUAACUCUGUGCCAGCAG